UUGGGAAUCUUCGGCAAUGGACGAAAGUCUGACCGAGCAACGCCGCGUGAGUGAAGAAGGUUUUCGGAUCGUAAAACUCUGUUGUUAGAGAAGAACAAGGACGUUAGUAACUGAACGUCCCCUGACGGUAUCUAACCAGAAAGCCACGGCUAACUACGUGCCAGCAGCCGCGGUAAUACGUAGGUGGCAAGCGUUGUCCGGAUUUAUUGGGCGUAAAGCGAGCGCAGGCGGUUUCUUAAGUCUGAUGUGAAAGCCCCCGGCUCAACCGGGGAGGGUCAUUGGAAACUGGGAGACUUGAGUGCAGAAGAGGAGAGUGGAAUUCCAUGUGUAGCGGUGAAAGGCGUAGAUAUAUGGAGGAACACCAGUGGCGAAGGCGGCUCUAUGGUCUGUAACUGACGCAGAGGCUCGAAAGCGUGGGGAGCAAACAGG
rnacentral:rRNA from 1 species